GCAAGAAGACUCCACAUGCCAGCUAGACUGCUCAGAGUUCUUUGACAUUUAUGUGUAACCAUGCCUUCUCCGGGGAGGUUGCUGAGAUGUGCCCCCCCAGCCGAGGUCCAAGGCAUCUGACACCAACUCAAUGGAGUGAGGAGGGCUGUUGAACGGAACUCCCCAGGACUGUCCUGCAGUCAGUCCACCAUCUCAGCGAAGAAAGUAUUGCCUGGGGAAUGGUAACAAUCUUCUCUAGGGGGUUUCAAGACUGGGAAUAGACUCACACCAGCCAUUGUUGCAGGGGCUGCAUCCAGAGCCUGGCAUGGCAGAACAUGCAAGUGUAUGCUGCGAUGUGGCCCAACAGGCGCAGAUAGACCCUGGCUGUAGUCAGAGGGAACGCGGAGACUUCCGCGAUGAGUUUCACCAACAUGUGGAACCUUUCCAGCUGCAGGAACACUCUAGUGCAGGCCCAGGGAGCGGCAUGUGGCUUGAAACUCCACAACGUUCGUUCAGACUUGAGACCUGGAGCCACCCUUGACGAGCCAGUCGUUGAGGUCCGGGUAGAUCUGGAUACCCCGACACGUGAGGGCCCCACCACCAAAGGGCAGGUCCUGCAAUGACUGCUGGGCCUCAGUGGACAACCCAUAGAGGAGCAACCAAGAGGCUUGCCGCAUAGAGACAGCAGACGCCAUGGUGUGGGAAGCAGCAUCAGCAGCAUCCGAUGCCACCUGGAGGGCCACCCGGGCCACAGUUGUGCCCUCAUCGAGGAUCACUCGGUAUUCCUUCUUGGAAGCCUCGGGGAACAACCCUUCGAACGUGGCCAUGGCUUGCCACAUAUUAAAGUCAUAUCAGCCAAGGAGGGUUUGGUGGUUGGCCACUCUCAGCUGAAGGCUGGAAGACCAAUAAACCUUACGUCCAAAGAGA